GCUAACUAUCAAGCCCACAAACACUAAGUACAACAGAGCUUUAAUUACCACAAAAUAAAACAUUUUAUUAUUUAAGUAAAGGCGAUCGAAAAAAUUCUAAGAGCUUCAACUGCAGUACCGCAAGGGAAAGAUGAAAUAUGAAUGAAAUAAUAUAAAGCACAAGAUAGUAGAGACUAAAACUCGUACCUUUUGCAUCAUGGUCUAGCAAGUCAUUAUCAAGCAUAGAGAUACUAAAGUUUGAUUCCCCGAAGCUAGGCGAGCUACUUCAAAAUAGCAUCUAGAGCCAACCCGUCUCUGUAGCAAAAGAGUGGGAAAAUUUUCAAGUAGCAGUGACAAGCCUAUCGAGCCUAGAGAUAGCUGGUUAUUCAAGAAAAGAAUUUUAGUUCUACCUUAAGCUCAAAUAUGAAUACAAACAUGACAUUAUGCUUAAGAGCUAUUCAAAUAGGGCACAGCUUAUUUGAAAAAGGCUACAACCUAAACUUUAGGGUAAGAUUCCGUAAACUUAAUAAAGUAGGCCUAAAGGCAGCCAUCUUUUAGAAAGCGUCAAAGCUUUAUUUUUAAUAUAUUAAAUUCUAUUUAUCCACGCCAACCCUUUACCAGUAUUGAAUAAAUUCAUAAAUUAUGAAAACUACCAUGCUAGAACUAGUAACAAGAAUAUGAAUUUCUCCAAAGCGCAAACAAAAACCAAAAUGGACAACCCAUUGAUAAUUAACGACUCUGAGCCCGUUAUAGUAAAUUUUCUAGAAAAUCCUAUAUAUAAUAUCGUUAACCUUACACAAGAGUCCUUCUGGAAAGAUUAAAAGGAAGAGAAGGAACUCGGCAAACUUUAACCCCGCCUGUUUACCAAAAACAUCGCCUCUUGCUUAAAUAUAAGAGGUCCAGCCUGCCCAGUGUUUUAAUCAACGGCCGCGUGAUUUAAGCGCGCGAAGGUAGCGUAAUCAUUUGUUCUUUAAAUAAGGACUUGUAUCAAUGGCAUCACGAGGGUUAUACUGUCUCCUCUUCCCAAUCAGUGAAACUAAUCUCCCUGUGAAAAAGCAGGGAUAAAACUAUAAGACGAGAAGACCCCAUGGAGCUUUAAACACAGCAACAACCCUAAUGAUACGCUCAAUACAAUUUUAAGRCCUGUUUGCCAGUUUUAGGUUGGGGUGACCGCGGAGCAAAACGAAGCCUCCACAACGAAAAGGGGUUAUACCCUUAUUUGAGACCUACCUGUCUAAAAAUUAUUAAUAUAACGUCUAAUGACCCGACUAUCGACCAACGGACCAAGUUACCCUGGGGAUAACAGCGCAAUCCACUCUGAGAGCCCCUAUCGACGAGUGGGCUUACGACCUCGAUGUUGGAUCAGGAUAUCCAAGUGGUGCAGCCGCUACCAAAGGUUUGU
rnacentral:rRNA from 1 species